AUGAUCUGGCAUGUACAGAAUGAAAACUUCCUCGAUUCUACGAGAAUUUUUAUGAAAACGUUUCAUUUGCUUCUCUUCAAUGGAAGUUUUAUUUUCCCAGAAUGUAUCCUAAUUUUUGGCCUAAUUCUUCUGAUGAUGAUCGAUUCAACCUCUGAUCUAAAAGAUAGACCUUGGUUCUAUUUCAUCUCUUCAACAAGUUUAGUAAUAAGCAUAACGGCCCUAUUGUUCUAA
rnacentral:rRNA from 1 species